CGAAAAACGCAGAUGUAAGCGACUCUGAAAUUGUGCUGGGGUCUCGCGCUGCGGCUGUGGAACCUGAGAGAACUGCAGAGUGGCAAGGGUGAUUACGCCAUCACUGAACGUCGCCAACCUCUUGGCGAUGUGAACUCGGGAGUGCUCUUCA